UACGAAGGGGGCUAGCGUUGCUCGGAAUGACUGGGCGUAAAGGGCGCGUAGGCGGCUUGCACCGUCAGAUGUGAAAUUCCUGGGCUUAACCUGGGGGCUGCAUUUGAUACGUGUGGGCUUGAGUGCAGAAGAGGGUCGUGGAAUUCCCAGUGUAGAGGUGAAAUUCGUAGAUAUUGGGAAGAACACCGGUGGCGAAGGCGGCGACCUGGUCCGUGACUGACGCUGAGGCACGAAAGCGUGGGGAGCAAACAGG
rnacentral:rRNA from 1 species